rnacentral:tRNA from 1 species
AAUGAGUUGGCAGAGAUAUGCACUUGACUUAGGAUCAAUUAACAGGACCGCUUCCUACUCAUUU